AAGUCGUAACAAGGUUUCCGUAGGUGAACCUGCGGAAGGAUCAUUAACGAGAAGACCAGGGCUCCGCCCCUGGUAGGGGUAAGCCUUCGGGCCUGCCCUGCUUCUUCACCCAUUGCAUACCUUCCAGUGUUGCUUUGGCGGGCCGUGGGGGCUCUUUCCCCGCCGCUAGCCCCGGGUCAGCCCCGGGUCUGAGUGCCCGCCCGCCAGAGGCCUUCAAACCAAACCCUGUUAUCUGUGAUGUCCGAGUGAUUGCACAAUUACAGAAAACUUUCAACAACGGAUCUCUUGGUUCUGGCAUCGAUGAAGAACGCAGCGAAAUGCGAUAAGUAAUGUGAAUUGCAGAAUUCAGUGAAUCAUCGAAUCUUUGAACGCACAUUGCGCCCCUUGGUAUUCCGAGGGGCAUGCCUGUUCGAGCGUCAUUGCAACCCUCAAGCGCGGCUUGGUGUUGGGCACUUCGCCCCCUCAGGGGGUGGGCCUGAAAGUCAGUGGCGGUCCGGGGAGACUUCAAGCGCAGUAAAUUUUCAUUCGCUUUGGAAGCUUCUUGCCGUGUGCCUGCCGGAAACUUCAAUAUUUCAAUGGUUGACCUCGGAUCAGGUAGGGAUACCCGCUGAACUUAA
rnacentral:rRNA from 1 species